rnacentral:rRNA from 1 species
UACGUAGGGUGCGAGCGUUGUCCGGAAUUACUGGGCGUAAAGAGCUCGUAGGUGGUUUGUCGCGUUGUCCGUGAAAACUCACAACUCAAUUGUGGGCGUGCGGGCGAUACGGGCAGACUGGAGUACUGCAGGGGAGACUGGAAUUCCUGGUGUGGCGGUGGAAUGCGCAGAUAUCAGGAGGAACACCGGUGGCGAAGGCGGGUCUCUGGGCAGUAACUGACGCUGAGGAGCGAAAGCGUGGGGAGCGAACAGG